CGAGCUGACCGGGUAAUCGCUGUCAAAUAGAUAGAGGAAAGUCCGGGCUCCAUAGAGAAUGAUGCCAGAUAACGUCUGGGUGCUGUGAAGUAACGGAUAGUGCAACAGAAAAUAAACCGCCUUGUGUUAAAAGGUAAGGGUGAAAAGGUGCGGUAAGAGCGCACCAGACUUUUGGUAACAAAAGUCGUUGGCAAACCCCAUCAGGAGCAAGACCAAAUAGAGACCUGUUAAUGUUUCUCGCAUUAGGUCAGGGUAGGUUGCUAGAGGUUUAUGGCAACAUAAAUCCCAGAGGAAUGAUUACCAAUUACAGAACCCGGCUUAUAGGUCAGCUCAUAUA
rnacentral:RNase_P_RNA from 1 species